AACGUACCGUGCCGUUGGGAGGUCGAGAGGCAACUUUAUAAUUUCGCACAUAUAGGCGCCUCUCACAAUCAUCCAGUCUAUAAAUACAGGAGGGACACUGAACUUUUCAAUUGAGCGGGAAUCCGAUCGGAGGAAAAUGUGAGUUAAUGUGAAUCCUCUGGAUCUUAGAAACCCCUUUUUUUUGUUAAUAGCUUCUCUGACUGAUCUUGUUCUUUACCUGUAAAUUUUUUCCUACUUAAUCUCCUCUGCCAUUCAAAGAUAUGCUGGAUCUCUGAAGUUCUCUGCCGAUUAUUGUUGUUCUUGAACGCAUUCCCGACUUCAAUCAUCCACUCGUUAGAAUAUCAUGUAAGUAACCGGUUGGCUGGAAGUUUUCAAAUUUGCUUCUCAUGUUUUCCCUGUUUUUUUUUUGCUGGAGAAUUUCUGGAAUUCGUUGAUAACUUAAUUGUUCGUUGAUUUAGAAUGAAUGAGGAAGUUUUGCCUUGAUAUGACUUUUUCCCUGGAAAGUUUAUAGCGAUAGAAGUGCUUUAACUUUCCUGAUUUCAUAAAAUAGAAAGAAACAGCUUCGAAUCAAGCGGAAGGUGUUUGUUUGUUAAUCUUUUUGGUGGAAAUGAUAAAUUCCGACAUGAAUUCGAUGAAUGCAGUUGGAAUUCAUCUGUUUAUCCAAAAAUCCAAAGGUUUAUAAUACUUCUAGAUGAUAGAGGCAUUUAGAGAUGGAUCACGAGUUCAGUAAAUUUAGGAAAAUAUCCUCUCUUCCAUAUCUGUUAGUUUCAGGUACCUGACGUUGAGAGCUGUUUUAAAGAGUCUCGGAACUUGAAGUUCUCAAGGAUUGGCGUUUUUGCUGAGAAUUUUGGUAUGUGAGCAGUGAUUAAGCUUUAUCAUAUUUCAUUUUCUCUUUAUUGUUAGUUAAACAUUGAUCUCAAUUCUGAUUACUCAUCAAAGAGUGCCUCUUAGUUGAUGCUGAUGAAAAUUGAAAUUGGGAAAUGAUUGGCCCUCUCUGUGUUAGAUGUUAUUUUAGUUAGCGAGAGCACAGGAAUAUGUCUUUAUGCCAUCUCAUCCGGACAGACUCCAGGGACACCAUUUGGAGUCUAGCAGAAGUAGUAUUUGAUGAAAGGCAUGAAAGAGAUGGGAAACCUACUUUGACAUACUUCUAGACAACAUUGGCGAGUCAUAACUAUAUCAGAAGAACAAACCAUGUUUGUGGAAAUGCCGGCCGUAUCUUUGUGACUUCAUCAACUGUAAAAGAGUACAUUAGUAAUUUAGUAUAGUAUAUAAUUAUGCGGUUGAUAGAUGACUAGCAUUGUAUGGCAGAAUUGAUUUCUGGUCUAUACCAAGUAAAAAUUAUUGUCAUUGAUUCUGUGACAAUAAGCAGUUACACUUAGUAACACCUUUUGCAUGGAGACAUGUCAUAUUUGUAUCAUGCUACUCGUGCAAUUGGUUCUGAAGCCUUCUAUGCAUUCUCAGUAUUUGAUAUUACAGGGUGCCCUUUAUGUAUUUUUCUUGCGGUAUAUAAUUUGGAGAAAGAAAUUUCAAGGGGUGGAAAACUCAAGUGCAGCCACUUUGGGCUGAAGGGUGCAGCUCUUAGCUGUUAUGCAGAAUCCUGCAGGAGCCCAAGUCUAUUUUGUUCACUUGACCCACUUCAUGUAUCUGAUUAUUGAUUUUUUUUUUCCCAUCAGUGGUUUCCCCAGUAACCAGGUGGUCUCGUCACACAUGCUACAUAUGUAAAAACUGAAACCGAUAAUGAUGCAGAAAACAAAUGAAAAUAGAAAACAGAAUCACACAAUGCAACACAGAUUUACGUGUUUCAGCAAGAUUUCCUACGCCUAUGGUGAGAUGAGAACUGCUUCGCAUGCAAGACACCCUACCCCUCAACAACAUAUUCCUGUUUUGACUAUGAUUUCCCUUUCUCAGAAGACGAGGCAGCUAGUUCUUAUGAUGACUCGUUCAAAUUGGCAUGCAAGAAACUAAAAGAAGCUUCCCCACUGAGCUUGAAAGUUGCUUUUAGAUUAGUUAGUCAUUACCUUUUGCUUUUCUCUAUUUGUUCUAAAAUAGCUUGCAUUACCUUAUGGCUUGAUUCAGUACCUUCUUCAUAUUUAGAUGAGGGAAGUUAGAUUUCAGUCUCUUGAUCAGUGGUCCCUUAAUGGAUUUCUAAUGACUUCUGUGAGGUAUGGGAUAUUCUGAUCUCCAUACUAUCUUUUAUGAUCCUUCUCUUCGCACAUUACUGUGUUCCUUGUAUAGGGGGUUCAGGUUUUAUUGGUAGAUAAGGACUAUGAUCCAACGGUAUCACAUUUUUCCCUUCAUGCAGUGUCCGAAUUUAUUGUUUAUUUCUGAAACCAAUUAUGAGUUAAUAACCAAAAAAUGCAGUGGGAUCCUCCAAAUUUUUAGGACAAGUCUCAAAAGACAUGGUGGACUGCUACUUUUUGCCACAAAGUGAAUUCGAGCCUGAACUGGAGCUACCUACAGCGCUAUGAGAACCUUUGAUGUGAGGCAGAUGUCUAGUAGGCUAUUCUAACUCUCCAUAGAGGCAGUCUGAGGUGUGGGAUUGUCCACAUUUUCUAAGUGUCAGCUGCGGUCAUCUAGCUGAAGCCAAUUUGCUCCCACAACACUAUUGAGGUGUCAGAUCGGUCCGUCUGCCUUUGCCUUCUAGCCACAGCUCAAGGUUGUAUACACUUGUUGCAGCUCAUCCUUUAGAACUAAUCAGUCUGCAUUAGGACUGACUCACGGUGGAGAUGUUCUAGAGCCACCGGAGGCAGAAGGAAAAUGGGGAAUCAUGCCACCACCAGCAGAAAAUGGUGCAGGGCCUAGUAUUGCCUCUGGUAUUGUUGGUUCAGAUCGAUCAUCGAGGCAAGGGAACCUGGAGUGUUGACCCAUGAUGGAACUACAAUUAUUCCUGGAGCCUUGGAUGUGACACAGAAGAUUGCUAAAGAUGCUAUGAUGCCAAUAGCCAGAACUUUUUCGCUUCCAAACUUGCCAUGUGUAUGAGUUACUUAUUUCAGUAGUUAGUAUUAUUCCCAUGUUCCAGGUUAUGGUAAUGAUCUAUACUUAUUCAUCAGAAUGCAAUGGAUUUAAUAAUGACUAAAGGCCAUAGUCGUGUACCUAUCUACUCCGGAAGCCAACAAAUACCAUAGGCCUUCUUUUGGACUAUUGCAGCUGAUUGGUUGAUGGAAUGAAGAGCACCACGAAAUACAUAUAUCAUUUGUGAUGACCCAAAUGAUAGAAUAGCUUAUUAAAGGUUACGUUGAUGGUUUGACAAUAAUGGUGAGGUUAUCACUUCUUAGUGAAAGCUCUGAAAGUCACCCUAAGUGGAUAGCUCAGUAUCAACACUUCAUAGUCGUCAGAGGUCAUGAGUUCAACCCUCUUUAAUGCCUACCUGUAAAGUUGUUAUGAGUUCAACCCUCUUUAAUGCCUACCUAUAAAAAUGAAAGUCAAGAUAUUGUUAAUUUAAUAUGACUUGUGGGCAAAGAGACGUCUUGAAUUGGCAACAGUGCAGCAUUGGCCACACACCUCCAACUGUCGUAUGUGCGCUAGAGAAGAUCAAGUUUAGAUUUUAGAACA